rnacentral:lncRNA from 1 species
CCGCUGCUUGCCGGGUCCCGGCCCGGCGACGCGCGCUCACACCCUCCUCCCGAGCCGCCCUCACGCCGAGCGCUGCGGACGGGGGCGCGCAACCUGCCGCCGGCCGGGACCCUGCGGCGAGUGCCGGAACCCGGCCGGGCGGGGCCUCCCGCGGCCCGGCCGCUUUAUUGGGUCACCGGCCUCGCCCACCGCCCUGCCAGCCGCAGCCAUCUCGGCGGGCGCGCCGCUCGCAGCCAGCGCCCCAUCCCCAGGCCUGCACGUACGUCGUCGGCGAUCCGGGGCCGGGGGCGGCUCCGAGGUCGUCGGGGCCGGGGUCCCACCUCCUCUUGGAGGAAGCGCCGCCUCCCCACCCGCCCGGGGCCCUCGCCAAGUGGCUGCUAACAAAGCCCAGGGCCCGGCUGCGGGAUGGUUGACUGACAAAGUCAUGCCUGCCUAGCCAGCUUCCUCGUGCAGCACGGUGAAGGCUGGGGCGCCGGGUUUUUACUCCCACGUCCUGCCAACUCGAGCUGACAAGGCGGGCAAUCCACCAGCGGGAGCGUUGGCAGGCCCGGGGUCAGAUCCUGAUUCAGCCAGUUAAUUGGUAGGAGUGGGGCCCAUUUGUAGAAUGAAGGUGAUAACUGCCUCGUGGGGUUAUUGGCAUUAAAUGAAGAAUGUAGGGAACCUAGCAUGGUUCUUGAUGUCUAGGAGGUGCUCGGUGAAGGGUGCCUAUGAUUCGCUUUGUCUUCUAAAUACUUUUGGCAGCACUUGAGGUGUUAAAGUCUGUAUCCCAGACUUUAUUAGUCUUGUUGUUUUACGUGACUUAAGCGAUUAGCUCAAACGCCCAAGUACAAAAUGGGGCUAAACCCAGGUUUUCCGACACGAUUCUACCUCCAUGGCUCUAUCUCCAGCUCCACCCAAGGCCUCCAAAAUGGUGUUCUCCUAAAGUGACCAACAAAACACCAAGCUGUGUCAUGGUGCCACUUUGGCGAUGUGGUCUCUUAGGAGAGGGAAUUCUAAGUAGUUAAUUAGCUUGUUCCUUUCUACGUUGUAGUCUUGACCAAGGACAAUGUGUUGGCAUUUAAUGCCACUGAAGAUUUAAGAGACUAAGGAAUCAGAUCCUCUGAGAUUCCUAAAUCUGUGUAAUAAAAUGGGUUCUACACAUAGCUAUUCCAAAAAAUUCAGUCAGAUAUUACUAACAAGAUAGACAGAUUAUAAUCUGUAUGAAAUUUCUAGGAGUAAUAAAAAUCAGAAUAGACCCCGUAACCCCGAGUAUGUGUCUAAUUUUCUCAACUAUAAAAUAAUUAAAACUAAAGGCCUUUCUCUUCCUCCCUUGGUGAAUGCCCUUAUGUGAAUUCAGCUGACACACUCAGAAUGACAAAGGAGUUAGAAAUUCACAUCAACAGCAAUUGGUCCCAACUGACUCAAACCAUGAGACUUCUGCCCUGCUAAGAUACCUUGUCAGUAUCUACCACUUUAGCAAUUCUGGGUAAAUGGGGGAAGAAAGAGCCAAAUCAGCUCUUUUUUUUUUUUUCAUUAAAAAGCAAAUUUUUUUUAGAGCCAGUCUUGCCUUACGUAGCCCAGGCUGGAGUGCAGUGGCACAAUCAUGACUCACUGUAACCUCGAACUCCUGGCCUCAAGAGAUCCUCCCAUCUCAGCCUCCCAAGUAACUGGAACUAAAGGCACAGGCCACUCCACCUGGCCAAUUUAUUUUUAAAAUUUUUUAGGGACGUGGUUCUACUGUGUUGCCCAGGUGGGUCUUGAACUCCUGGCCUCAAGCAAUCCUCUGGCCUUGGUCUCCCAAAGCACCAGGAUUACAGGUGUGAGCCACCAAACCCGGCCCAAAUCAGCUCUUUAUUCUAACUGGUGGUCUCACCGCAACAACACAAAAUCUACAGCGUGCCAACUGUGCUUCAGCCGCUGGAUGCACUAAGACAAAACUGUCUUGAUCUACACAGUUGAGUUAGACUUAACAGUUCUCAGUAAUCAUGAUAAAAUAGGGACUAUGUACCAAAUGCUAGCCUAGGAUAUGGAACAACUAAUUCUGCCUUUGGUAGCUAGGCCUCAGUAAGUUUUAUCUCAGUAUUCUGUGGGAAGGGCAGCAAAGGAGGAGGAUCUGUAUCAUUUUUCUGUAUUCAAGAGCUAUGCAUUUGAUUAUCAUCUUAGCUGAAUUACACAUUGCAAGAAGUGCCUUUAAGCAAUAUGGUUUUUAGAUAUUUCAGUGACGGUAUCAUUCAUGGUUCAGCACAAAUAUGUGUUUUUUACAUUUCACUUUCUCUCCUUUCUAAAAGAAAGGAGUUUUUAAACCAGUGUUUACAAACUGCACUCUGUCCCCUUCUUCUAAGAAAUAAUAUUUAAACAAAUAAUAGCAAUCAUUAUUCUACAUACCUUUAACCCAGCUUCACUUACAAUGCAGCUCGUGGAUGGCAGAGCUGUGUGUUGUCCGUGGUCAGACACACAGGAAGUCUGAAUUGUUAUCCUGUUCUGCCACUGAAAUGUGUAAAAUAUAGGGGGAGUGUCCCAAGUCAUUUUCCUAAAAGCAUCAUCCAACUAUGAGCUGAACACUGCCCCGAGAAUGCAACAGAACUUCAGCUCUGUCCCAAGGUCGUCAGCCACAGCUCCAAGUUUCUUAGCAUCAGCUUUUUCUGAACAAAAUAGUGCAUCCUGCUGGAAUCACUACUGUAAACUGAGUAUAAAGGAAAAUAAACCCUCUUUUUCUUAUCCACUAUGUUCCCUACUCCCGUGCUUUUCCCAGUGCUCCAGAAACAAUUACAGAUUUACAUGAAGUUUCAAAUGAUGUGCCAGGAUGUCCUAUGUCACUUUCACAUCAGUUCCCCCAAUGGAAAAAAAUGAAGAAGAAGAGGAGAAAGAAUAAGAGGAUGAAGAGGGGAGGAAUAGAAAAAGAAAAUGUUUACCUGAUUUACUAUGAUUAUUUAAUACUAAUUAUUUUGCUUUUUGCAAUAAAGUGUUGCAAAACUUUGCCUUUCCCCAGGCAAAUGGGAGAAAUAAGUGUGCACCUUAUCUUUUUUUUCCUAUCCACCGUUUCUCUCUCGCCCUUCACUUUUUCCAUCCCCUUUAAGUCUUCA